rnacentral:rRNA from 1 species
UACGUAGGGAGCAAGCGUUGUUCGGAAUUACUGGGCGUAAAGGGCUCGUAGGCGGCCAACUAAGUCGGACGUGAAAUCCCCAGGCUCAACCUGGGAACUGCGUCCGAUACUGGAUGGCUUGAAUCCGGGAGAGGGAUGCAGAAUUCCAGGUGUAGCGGUGAAAUGCGUAGAUAUCUGGAGGAAUACCGGUGGCGAAGGCGGCAUCCUGGACCGGCAUUGACGCUGAGGAGCGAAAGCCAGGGGAGCAAACGGG